rnacentral:rRNA from 1 species
GGGUUGUGAGGUUAAGCGACUAAGCGUACACGGUGGAUGCCCUGGCAGUCAGAGGCGAUGAAGGACGUGCUAAUCUGCGAUAAGCGUCGGUAAGGUGAUAUGAACCGUUAUAACCGGCGAUUUCCGAAUGGGGAAACCCAGUGUGUUUCGACACACUAUCAUUAACUGAAUCCAUAGGUUAAUGAGGCGAACCGGGGGAACUGAAACAUCUAAGUACCCCGAGGAAAAGAAAUCAACCGAGAUUCCCCCAGUAGCGGCGAGCGAACGGGGAGGAGCCCAGAGCCUGAAUCAGUGUGUGUGUUAGUGGAAGCGUCUGGAAAGGCGCGCGAUACAGGGUGACAGCCCCGUACACAAAAAUGCACAUGCUGUGAGCUCGAUGAGUAGGGCGGGACACGUGGUAUCCUGUCUGAAUAUGGGGGGACCAUCCUCCAAGGCUAAAUACUCCUGACUGACCGAUAGUGAACCAGUACCGUGAGGGAAAGGCGAAAAGAACCCCGGCGAGGGGAGUGAAAAAGAACCUGAAACCGUGUACGUACAAGCAGUGGGAGCAUGCUUAGGCGUGUGACUGCGUACCUUUUGUAUAAUGGGUCAGCGACUUAUAUUCUGUAGCAAGGUUAACCGAAUAGGGGAGCCGAAGGGAAACCGAGUCUUAACUGGGCGUUAAGUUGCAGGGUAUAGACCCGAAACCCGGUGAUCUAGCCAUGGGCAGGUUGAAGGUUGGGUAACACUAACUGGAGGACCGAACCGACUAAUGUUGAAAAAUUAGCGGAUGACUUGUGGCUGGGGGUGAAAGGCCAAUCAAACCGGGAGAUAGCUGGUUCUCCCCGAAAGCUAUUUAGGUAGCGCCUCGUGAACUCAUCUCCGGGGGUAGAGCACUGUUUCGGCAAGGGGGUCAUCCCGACUUACCAACCCGAUGCAAACUGCGAAUACCGGAGAAUGUUAUCACGGGAGACACACGGCGGGUGCUAACGUCCGUCGUGAAGAGGGAAACAACCCAGACCGCCAGCUAAGGUCCCAAAGUCAUGGUUAAGUGGGAAACGAUGUGGGAAGGCCCAGACAGCCAGGAUGUUGGCUUAGAAGCAGCCAUCAUUUAAAGAAAGCGUAAUAGCUCACUGGUCGAGUCGGCCUGCGCGGAAGAUGUAACGGGGCUAAACCAUGCACCGAAGCUGCGGCAGCGACGCUGAUGCGUUGUUGGGUAGGGGAGCGUUCUGUAAGCCUGUGAAGGUGUACUGUGAGG